rnacentral:lncRNA from 1 species
CAGGAGUAGAGGUGAGGCACACAUAAGAGCAGGUCAGAAGGAACAGAGCGGAGGGUAGGCAACUUGUCAGCCAACCUUUCAUGCCAGUUUGUUCAGCCCAGGCAUUCACAGUUGCUAGCGCAGCAGCACGAACGUUAUUCUUACUGUCACCAAGGACUGUGAUGACAGGAAUGCCCAAAUUUUUCACAUGCUGUUUGAUAUUGGGGCCCAUUGCUGUUGCCAGCUGCUGAAGAAUGCUCAGUGUUUGUUGCACCAAGAUUUUAUUGGAGUCAUUGAGACGACUCUUCAAAGCAGCAGGAAGUUCUCCUAUGUUGGGCUGUAUGAACUUGGCAUCAUUAAUGAUGCUUGUCACUUCAUCUAGACCUUCCUUUCGGAUCUUCCAGUUUUUGUCCCCAAUCUUAGCCACUAGUUCAGCUGUGAUCUUAUCACCAAUAUCUGUUCUUGGCAGAAGAUCCACAACAUCAUUCCCAACAUCUUCCUGUUCCUCUUCCUCACCAUCAUCCCCACUUCCUCCACUGUGCCUGGAAAUGCCACGAGUUGGGGCUGGUGCUGUCUGUCCUUGCAUCUUUUCAAAUUCUGCGUCUAUCUGAGAGAGAAGGGCUGGCUUCUCAUCCUCAAAAAACAUUCGCAAAGGAGGUCCCACAUAAAGAUACAUGACUCCCAGCAAGGUAAUGGCAGAAGUCCUUACAGCUGGGUUAGUUGCAGCAAGAGCUGUCUUUACAUUACUGAUGAAAGCUUUGACAUUCAGUCCAGAAAAGCCAAACUCUUUAAUUGCAUUUGAGAGCCAGUUCAAAGUUUCUGACUGAUUUUUAGGGUUCUUUUGAGAGAAAGCC